rnacentral:rRNA from 1 species
GGAAUUUUGCACAAUGGGGGAAACCCUGAUGCAGCAACGCCGCGUGAAGGAUGAAGGUUUUCGGAUUGUAAACUUCUUUUAUUAAGGACGAAAAUUGACGGUACUUAAUGAAUAAGCUCCGGCUAACUACGUGCCAGCAGCCGCGGUAAAACGUAGGUCACAAGCGUUGUCCGGAAUUACUGGGUGUAAAGGGAGCGCAGGCGGGAAGACAAGUUGGAAGUGAAAUCCAUGGGCUCAACCCAUGAACUGCUUUCAAAACUGUUUUUCUUGAGUAGUGCAGAGGUAGGCGGAAUUCCCGGUGUAGCGGUGGAAUGCGUAGAUAUCGGGAGGAACACCAGUGGCGAAGGCGGCCUACUGGGCACCAACUGACGCUGAGGCUCGAAAGUGUGGAUAGCAAACAGGAUUAGAUACCCUGGUAGUCCACACUGUAAACGAUGAUUACUAGGUGUUGGAGGAUUGACCCCUUCAGUGCCGCAGUUAACACAAUAAGUAAUCCACCUGGGGAGUACGACCGCAAGGUUGAAACUCAAAGGAAUUGACGGGGGCCCGCACAAGCAGUGGAGUAUGUGGUUUAAUUCGAAGCAACGCGAAGAACCUUACCAGGUCUUGACAUCCGAUGAAUAGCUUAGAGAUAAGUGAAGUCCUUCGGGACAUCGAGACAGGUGGUGCAUGGUUGUCGUCAGCUCGUGUCGUGAGAUGUUGGGUUAAGUCCCGCAACGAGCGCAACCCUUAUUGUUAGUUGCUACGCAAGAGCACUCUAGCGAGACUGCCGUUGACAAAACGGAGGAAGGCGGGGACGACGUCAAAUCAUCAUGCCCCUUAUGUCCCGGGCUACACACGUAAUACAAUGGCGGUCAACAGAGGGAAGCAAAGCCGCGAGGCAGAGCAAACCCCUAAAAGCCGUCUCAGUUCGGAUUGCAGGCUGCAACUCGCCUGCAUGAAGUUGGAAUUGCUAGUAAUCGUGGAUCAGCAUGCCACGGUGAAUACGUUCCCG